rnacentral:misc_RNA from 1 species
GAAAUGCGAUAAGUAAUGUGAAUUGCAGAAUUCAGUGAAUCAUCGAAUCUUUGAACGCACAUUGCGCCCGCCAGUAUUCUGGCGGGCAUGCCUGUCUGAGCGUCAUUUCAACCCUCAGCCCCCGUUCGCGGGGCGCUGGCGUUGGGGCCCGGCCGUCCUCGCGGCGGCCGUCCCCGAAACACAGUGGCGGUCUCCCGCAGACUCCCCUGCGUAGUAGCACUACCUCGCAGAAGGGACGAGCGGGCUGGCCACGCCGUAAAACACCCCACUUCUCCAGGUUGACCUCAGAUCAGGUAGGAAUACCCGCUGAACUUAA